UACAGAGGGGGCAAGCGUUAUUCGGAAUUAUUGGGCGUAAAGCGCGCGUAGGCGGCUUUGUAAGUUAGAGGUGAAAGCCCGGAGCUCAACUCCGGAACUGCCUUUAAGACUGCAUCGCUAGAAUUGUGGAGAGGUGAGUGGAAUUCCGAGUGUAGAGGUGAAAUUCGUAGAUAUUCGGAAGAACACCAGUGGCGAAGGCGACUCACUGGACACAUAUUGACGCUGAGGUGCGAAAGCGUGGGGAGCAAACAGG
rnacentral:rRNA from 1 species